GUGAAGCAUCGAAUUUUUGAACGCAAAUUGCACUCCCUGCUAUUCCGGGGCGUAUGUGUGUUUGAGGGUCGUCAGAAUAAAAAAUCGAGGCGUCGCUCUUUUUUUUAAGGGUGAUCGCGUCGGUAUUGAGUCGUCUUUCAAUUGUUAACUCAUGUCAAAGUGGCUUGAAAUUCAACCAUCCGG
rnacentral:misc_RNA from 1 species